ensembl:lncRNA
GUGAGUUUCAUCCAUGUGGACCUUUCCUAGUUCAAGUUACCCAGGGGUGCACAUCGUGCGGAGCGGCUCAAGCGCGCUCCCGCGAGGGGGUGCUUUUCACGCCAAGGGUGCAUAAUACGGCACAACACCGGUACGGAGCUGAAAACGCCCGGGUGGUGCUGAAAAACGGCGGCUUAAGCCUCUGGAGAUGGAAGUUAAAUGUUCAAAAUUGACAGAUCUAUUUGGUGCCGGGGUCCACACCCCAGCAGGUGCUGCUGCGCCAGGAGACGAGCGAGUGGAGGCAUAUAUGCUAAGUAACGUUAGCCUGGGGCUAGCUAGGCUACAUUUUGAGACAUGUCCAAAACAAAGUAGAAAACGUUUUUACAUUGAAUGUGAUGUGACCUAAUUAACCGCAUACUUGCGACAACAUAUUAGCCCAGAGUUGAAGGGCUGUGACUGUUGGUAGUUGCGGUUGAUUUUGUUUAAAUAGGCCGAAUUGUGAUAUUAUGGGUUAUUAUUGUUCAGAUGAUUUGGCUAAGCUAGCUAACAGCUGUUAACGUUAGUAGUCUCUUGUUGCCAUAGCAACAGUAAACAUUGACGUGGACUAAUGAGCUGUAAAUAGAGAUGCAGAAUCAAGCUGUAAAUACGCUUACUUUGACCGUUGCUAUAUUUCGGAUAUCAUGACUAUGACAAUGUGCAUCUGUUGUCUAUAUCUGACUGAUGAAUAGUAUCUCAAUAGUGAUAAUCGGAGAUGUCGAUGAGGCCGUGAAACAUCCAACCGGCGCUACGAUCAUGUCUGUCUGAUGCGGGGUCUCGGAAUAAGCGCAGCUGCUGGUGGUCUGAACAACGUGGGACUGGGGCCAGCAGUUAGGGGCACAGCCUCAUGGGAUAGGCCUAAUGGAUGUGAAAAAGGUAAUAUAUGAUGAACCGAAGGAAAAGGCCAAAGAGCUGCACUGCCAUACAUUUUCCUGCGGGUUCGGGAAGGCCUAUGAUGUUGUAUGCAAUAAGGCGGGGACUAUGUACGAAUUACUUCAGACAUGCGAUAGGUUUAAAGAAAAGGCUUCCAAAAACCAAGGCAAAGAUCUUGUUAUUUUAACAUCUCAUAAAAGAGCUAUUAGUAUGCAUUUUCCAUAUCACAAAAUGACCGAGAUUGGCACUGAAACCCUCGUAAUUAGGUAGCCCUACAUCAGUGCAGGAAGGAACCAGACAACCACCACAAGCAGUAAGGACAAAAAGGAAUAUCGUGGAGAGAUGGCAAUAUUUGACGUGAAAACAACUGGCGAUACUAACAUUCUUACUAUGGUUAUGAACAAUUUGGGGCUGAGAUAGCGGAUGAGGUUACAGUGUAUGGCUACAAAGGUCAAACAGUGAGAGAAGUGCUGGAGCAAGAUGGACGUUUUAGUGACGAGGUAUUACAAAGCAAUUAUUAUCUGCAGGACACAAAGAAUGGUAUACGUACGGAAAAGUCCACCCAUGCAAAUUAUCUAGAUGGUAGAUGUUUCAAGAUAACAAGAGGUUACCGCUUAGAAACGCUG